UGUCAUCCCAGUGCUUGACUACUUGGAUCCAGGAAAGUUUGCUUGUUUACAAGCAAACUAACAUAGAAAGUGGUUACAACGUUUUCGAUGAGAUUAUAUGGAAAACUGGAUUCCAGUGUCAAGCACUGGAAUGACAUCA
rnacentral:ncRNA from 1 species